rnacentral:misc_RNA from 1 species
GCAUCGUUUCUGCUGAAAAAAAAUAACACAAGCUGAUGUUUUGUACCCAGAAAAAGUAGAGGAAGUUGUGGUACAUGAUAUAGGGAUAUCGACGGAGAGCAAUGUGUUUUCCGCUGUGAGUUUACUGGAUCAAUGGACGAUCUCGUCAUCACAGCGCCCAUCUGCUAAUUACGGCAAAACAUAUAAAAGACCCGUGUCAAUUGGAUCGCAACUUACAAAGACGUUACGUUUCUAACCUAUCAAGCGUCCCCAUCAAAGGAUGAAGCCCAUGUAAUGUGCCCUAUUGUGAUAAAACUCUUCUUAGGAAUCUGGUUUAUAGAAAUGAACAAUGCAGAUUUUGAGAUUGUGUGUCGUUAUUUUUAAUAUUUAUUGUGGAACGGUGUAAAUUAAAAUUAGUCAAAUACAAUGAAGAACUGGACUUUUCUAAGUAUGAACGGGAGUGUGUUGAAGGACAAUAUAACGGGGGCUUCCUACGACAAUUCUACAGAGAACAAUGGCACAAGUGAAGUAUCAAACAACUUCGCUCUGUGGUUCCAUACGGAGCAGCAGAUAAUGAUUAUUUUCCUGUUACUAUUUAUCAUGGUUGGAAACAGUAUAGUUCUUGUGGCGGUAGCGGUCUCAAAGCGGAAAUCCCGAAUGAAUUUCUUCAUAAAACAGCUGGCAUUUGCAGAUCUGCUAGUUGGAGUUUUCAGCGUACUGCCGGAUCUUGUCCAAAGAUUUACCUUGCAUUGGUAUGCUGGCGAAGUUAUUUGCAAAAUUGUCCGAUUUGGUAUGGCGGCUGUUACGUAUGGCUCGACUUUUGUUCUGGUAGCAAUGAGUAUAGACCGUCUAGAUGCAAUAGCCAGGCCUCUUGGAUUUAGCGACAGUUGGCGGAGGCCUCGGCUAAUGAUCGCUGUCAGCUGGACGUUAGCGGGUCUGUGUUCCAUUCCUUCGGCCGUUUUGUUCAAAACGGACCACUGUUUUAUAGAUUUGACUCCGGUACAAUGGCAGAUAUAUCUUACCAUUAUCUCCUUCAUUGUGUUCUUCAUCCCUGCUAUCAUAAUUGGUAUUUGCUAUACUGCUAUCAUCAACAUCAUCCUGAUAAAUGGCCGUGGAGGCCCAAAGUCAAAAAGAGAUAAGAAGGGUCACGAAUCAGGAAAACCAUUCAAAGGCAAACCAGGGUUUCAGAUUGGGAAGAAAACAGCUCCAUUCAAAGAGAGUAAAUUUAUCAGAGGAAGAGAAACCAAUAUGAGUUCACGGGGGAUCAUACCACAGGCAAAGAUCCGAACCAUUAAGAUGACAUUCGUUAUAAUAUUUGUGUUCAUUUUGUGUUGGAGUCCAUACUUUAUAUUCAAUCUGAUGGGCGUCUAUCAUCUCAUACCUAUCAACUCAUCUACGAUGGGCCUCCAUUCACUCGUGCAAAGUCUGGCUCCAUUAAACUCCGCAGCCAACCCAAUCAUAUACGGUGUCUUCAGCACCAGAAUAUGUCGGCAGCUCAGAAACAAUGCGCUUCAUUCAAUACACAAACUCAUAACAACAAGAGAAGACUGCAGGAAAAGUGCGAUUCCGACUAAUAAGGUGUGUUCUCACGAGAUUGGGAUGCUGCCUGUCGGAUGAAGUGGAUCCGCGCAGGCGCUUCUACACAGAUCCGCCAACCACCACUUUUACCCAAUGCACGUAUACAACACAUGCCAGAACACACAGAACAGAAGGCGACCAGGAGACGGCGCUGAGUAGUGUAGAUGAAAGCAAAGACUUGUGUGACUUGGUGCUGAGUACAGCACCGUCCCAGAAUCUAUUGUCAACACAGACAUGUAUCCGCUGACAACCGACGAUAGAGUUACGAACGAGCAUCCUUUGUCUAGAAAUAUGGCGAAAAUAUGGUUGAAGUCAUAGAGUAGAGAAUACCACUAUACCUAAAAAACUUGUUUGUGAAAAAAUAUACCAAGAACGACUGUGGUAAAUUGUUUUGAGUGAUACAAGAUUAUCACUAUAUUUUCCAUAAAUAUUUAAUUUUAAGCUUUUAUUCUAAACAACAGAUGUUCUGUUUCCUUCACAAUCGAAUUUUGUACAGACUGCUUUAGUACAUAAUACUCAUAGUAAUAUUCAAGAAUAUAUGGUAGAAUUUUCAAAAUUGACUAUACUGUAGACACAGACGUCUCAAGAUAAUUGUUUAAAAAUGUUUUCUAUGGUUUUCUUAUUCUUAUAUCACUUUAAAGGUACAUAAUGUGCGUAAAUUAUUUUGUUAGAAACAUUUUUCGUGUAUUAACCAUCCCCUAUUGAAAAUUGUUUUAAAUCUAGCAUGUAACCAUUUCAUGAUAUCAAAGAUGAAAAUGUCUGUUAAGUUUAACAAAAUGUUCUGUAAAAAAAUAUAAAUGGUGCAGAUCUUGAAACAAGUUGUCUUGAUUCAACAAAUGUUUAUUAUGUCAUAAGAAGAACAACUCUGUUAUAAAAUACACAACACGUGCAAGUAUACAAACAUGAACUUUAUUAAUUCAUUGCACGCGAAGAGCCUAAAGUUCAUACAUACUGAUCUCGAAUUCUAUAGUCUAUCAUAUUCAGAGAAUUUUACUUGUAAUUUGGUAACAAAACCUGCGGAUUUUUAUGUAAAUACGUAUAUUUUUGUUGAAUAAAACGAACGGUUUUGUAUACAAUGUAUUAUCAAUAUAUUUUGUUGAAUUUAAUUUGUUGGUAAUUGUUGUAAAUUAAAAAAUGUAAUUG